CCGGGAUGGCGGUGGUUUUGGAGUCGCUGCUGCGAGAGGAGGUGUCGGUGGAAGCGGCCGUGCGGUGGAUCGCGCGCAGCGGCCAGAGUUCGGAGGACGACCCUGGGGAGGCGGCCGCGCUGAGCGCACUCCAGCCGCUGCGGAAAGAAUUCGUACCGUUCCUGCUGAACUUCCUGAGAGAGCAGAGCAGCCGCGUCCUCCCGCAGGGCCCGCCGACCCCCGCCAAGGCCCCGGGCGCCUCGGCAGCCUUGCCGGCGAGGGCGGGAGGCCAGCCGCGGGGCAGCCGCGGGGCGCGCAGCCAGCUUUUUCCUCCGACCGAAGCCCCCAGCACCGCCGCCGAGGCCCCUCUGGCCCGCCGCGGGGGCAGGAGGCGGUGCCCGGGGCCGACCCGCGAGCGAGGGGGCCGCGGCCCGGGGGGCCCGGAGGAGGGGGUCGGCGGGGAGAGCGUGCCCUGGGCCGGGGGCCGGAGGCUUAGGGGUUCUGGCAGCCCCAGCGGUCCCAGCCUCGCACUCUCUGAUCCACCAAACCUCAGCAACCUGGAGGAGUUUCCUCCCGUAGGCUCGGUUCCUCCCGGCCCUGCAGGCAGGACGAAGCCUUCACGCAGGAUCAACCCAACUCCGGUGAGCGAAGAGCGGUCACUCUCCAAGCCUAAGACCUGCUUCACCUCACCCCCAAUCAGCUGUGUCCCCAGUUCCCAACCCUCAGCCCUGGACACUAGCCCUUGGGGCCUUGGCCUUCCCCCAGGGUGCAGAAGUCUGCAAGAGGAGCGGGAGAUGCUCAGGAAGGAGCGCUCUAAGCAGUUGCUGCAGUCACCUGUCCCCACCUGUCCCACCCCAGAAUCGGGGUCGCCACUCCCCAGCCGGACAGGAAGCCUCACAGAUGAGCCUGCUGACCCUGCCAGAGUGUCUUCCCGCCAGCGCCUGGAGCUGGUAGCCCUUGUCUACUCCUCAUGCAUUGCUGAGAACCUGGUACCAAAUCUCUUCUUGGAGCUUUUCUUCGUCCUUCAGCUCCUUACUGCCCGGAGGAUGGUGACUGCCAAGCACAGUGACCGUGAACUGAGUCCAGAUGCCCUAGACUCCCUGGAAAAUCCGCUGUUUCAGAGCAUCCACGAUUGUGUCUUCUUUGCAGUGCAGGUUUUGGAACAUCAGUUUCAGGUCCUUUCCCAUCUGGACAAAGGGACCUUGAAGCUGUUGGCUGAGAAUGAGCGGCUGCUGUGCUUCUCUCCAGCUCUGCAAGGCCGCCUUCGAGCUGCCUAUGAAGGCAGCGUUGCCAAGGUCUCUCUGGAGAUGCCACCCUCUACGCAAGCUGUCUCCUUUCAGCCAGAGACUGACAAUCGUGCCAACUUCUCCAGUGACCGAGCCUUUCACACUUUUAAAAAACAGAGGGAUGUGUUCUAUGAGGUGCUUCGAGAGUGGGAAGAUCAUCAUGAGGAGCCCGGCUGGGAUUUUGAGAAGGGCUUGGGCAGCAGGAUCAGAGCCAUGAUGGGUCAACUCUCCACAGCCUGCAGCCACAGCCACUUUGUUCGGCUUUUCCAAAAACAACUUCUCCAGAUGUGUCAGCACCCUGGUGGUGCUGGGGCUGCUGUCUUGGGCGAGGCUCCAGAUGUGCUGAGCAUGCUGGGAGCUGACAAGCUGGGGCGGCUGCGGCGCCUGCAGGAACGGCUGGUGGCCCCUCAGAGCAGUGGGGGGCCCUGCCCGCCCCCCACCUUCCCAGGCUGUCAAGGCUUCUUUAGGGACUUCAUCCUUAGUGCCAGCAGCUUCCAGUUUAACCAGCAUCUCAUGGACAGUCUGAGCUUGAAGAUCCGGGAGCUCAACGGCCUGGCCCUGCCUCAGCACGAGCCCAGUGACGACGGGGAGUCAGAUGUGGACUGGCAGGGUGAACGGAGGCAAUUCGCUGUGGUGCUGCUUAGCCUGAGGCUUUUGGCUAAAUUCCUGGGCUUUGUGGCUUUCCUGCCAUACCGGGGGCCUGAACCCCCCCCGACCGGUGAGCUUCAGGACUCCAUUCUGGCCCUGAGGAGCCAGGUCCCUCCGGUCCUGGAUGUGCGCGCUCUGCUGCAGCAGGGGCUGCGGGCCCACCGGGCGGUGCUCACCGUGCCCUGGCUGGUGGAGUUCCUUUCCUUCGCCGACCACGUCGUGCCCUUGCUGGACUAUUACCGGAGCGUCUUCACUCUCCUGCUGCACCUGCAUCGGAGCUUGGUCUUAUCACAGGAGAAUGAAGGGGAGAUGUGUUUCCUGAACAAGCUGCUGCUCCUUGCUGUCCUGGGCUGGCUUUUCCAGAUUCCCACAGUCCCCGAGGACUUGUUCUUUCUGGAGGAGGGUCAGUUGGAUCCCUUUGAGGUGGACACGGUAGCCUCAGAGCAUGGCUUGGACAGUGUGCCUGUGGUGGACCAGCAGCUGCUCUACACCUGCUGCCCCUACAUCGGAGAGCUCCGGAAACUGCUUGCUUCAUGGGUGUCUGGCAGCAGUGGGCGGAGUGGGGGCUUUGUGAGGAAAAUCACCCCCACCACCACCACCGGCCUGGGAGCCCAGCCUCCCCAGACCAGCCAGGGGCUGCAGGCACAGCUCGCCCAGGCCUUCUUCCACAACCAGCCGCCCUCCCUGCGCAGGACUGUGGAGUUUGUGGCAGAGAGAAUUGGAUCGAACUGUGUCAAACACAUCAAGGCCACGCUGGUGGCAGAUCUGGUGCACCAGGCAGAGUUACUUCUCCAGGAGCAGCUGGUGACGCAGGGACAGGAAGGGGGAGAUCCAGCCCAGCUGUUGGAGAUCUUGUGUUCCCAGCUGUGCCCCCACGGGGCCCAGGCCCUGACCCAGGGGCGGGAGUUCUGCCAAAGGAAGAGCCCCGGGGCCGUGCGGGCGCUGCUUCCAGAGGAGACCCCGGCAGCUGUUCUAAGCAGUGCAGAGAGCAUUGCUGUGGGGCUCGCGACAGAGAAAGCUUGUGCUUGGUUGUCUGCCAACAUCACAGCACUGAUUAGGAGGGAGGUGAAGGCGGCAGUGAGUCGCACACUCCGAGCCCAGGGUCCUGAACCUGCUGCCUGGGGGGAGCGGAGGGGCUGCUCCCACGCCUGUGAGCACCACGCUCCCCUCCCCUCCCACCUCAUCUCCGAGAUCAAAGACGUGCUCUCCCUGGCCGUGGGGCCGCGGGACCCCGAGGAGGGCGUCUCCCCGGAGCAUCUGGAGCAGCUCUUAGGCCAGUUGGGCCAGACGCUGCGGUGCCGCCAGUUCCUGUGCCCACCUGCUGAGCAGCAUCUGGCGAAGUGCUCCGUGGAGUUAGCCUCCCUCCUUGUUGCAGACCAAAUUCCCGUCCUAGGCCCCCCUGCACAGCACAGGCUGGAGCGAGGGCAGGCACGAAGGCUUCUGCUCAUGCUGCUUGCCCUGUGGAAGGACGACUUUCAGGGCCCAGUUCCACUACAGCUGCUGCUGAGCCCAAGAAAUGUGGGGCUUCUGGCAGACACACGGCCAAGGGAGUGGGAUCUGCUGCUGUUCCUGCUCCGGGAGCUGGUGGAGAAGGGUCUGAUGGGCCGGCUGGAGAUCGAGGCCUGCCUGGGCAGCCUCCGGGAGGCCCAGUGGCCAGGGGACUUCUCUGAAGAAUUAGCAACACUGUUUAAUCUGUUUCUGGCAGAGCCUCAUCUGCCAGAACCCCAGCUGAGAGUUUGUGAGCUGGUGCAGCCAAAUCGGGGGGCCGUGCUGGCCCAGAGCUAGGACUGGGAAGGGACCCUGCCUUGAACGUCUCACCAGAGCCCUGGAACCCUGCAUGGGCCUGAGGAGGAGGCCUGAGAGCCCAGUGCCACCCAGGUGCCCAGUGCUGGCCCUUGCUGGUGCGAGCAUAGCUGGCUCUAGAACCAGAACUCCUGCUCAGAGGGGAAGGAAAUGUGGGCUGCUUGGCGUCCCACGGCCUGCAGGUUUGCCGUCUGAAUCCUCGAGGAAGGAGCGUUCACCUGAUUCAGGAUUGUGGGGGAAGAGCCUAGAGACUCCAGCCCUGGAGCAGAAGAGUUGGCAUUCAUGGCUUGGAUACUAAGCGAAACGAGGGGUGUGGUCUUGUCAACACAGGACUCAAGCCUCACUUGCUGCUAUCCCAGCAUCUCUUAAAACUGUGGUCUGGGAAAUCAUGACAGAGAGGAUCCAGCUGAGCUGUGACAUGGGACCAGCAGGAGAGAAAAGCCUAAAGCUCUCAAAGAUGUUGGGAGCUGGCCCAGGCCCGGCUUAAGGCCCACUGAGCUAAAACCAAGCUCUUGGGAAUCUGAAUGGAAACUUAACGUGGUCCUGGUGAAGGAAACUUCUGGUCACCUGUGUGAGCCCUAAAGGCCACUCUAAGGAUUAUGGAAGACAGGCAGCUAAUGGACCAGGGAACUAAUGAGAUUCCUUCUUAUGUAUCUGCUCUCUACUAGUUUUCUAAACCAGCAGCUUUUAAAGUGUGGUUCCCAGACCAGGGUCACCUGGGACUUAGAAAUACAAAUAUACUAGGGCCCCUCCCCAGGCCUCAUGAAUGAGCAGCUUGGGUAGGGCCCAGCCUCAGGUGCUAACAAAGCCUUCAAGUGACACUGAUGUGUGCUACAAAUUUGAGAACCACCCAUCUAAAUCAAAAUCUGACCUCACUUUUACAUUUUGCUACAAGAUCAAUUAAUAUUCUGACUUACAAUCAGGUCUGGUAUGUGGCUUCUCAAGUAAGGAGGAUAAGGUCACUACUUGGUUAUCCAUCCAUUAAGAGUCCCAUAGCUGGCUCUGCCUCCGAGCCCCAGAGCACUGUGGGCAUAGCGAGGGGUGGCAGUGACUUUUGGAAUCCUCACUCCCAGUCUCACUUGGGCUGUAGCUGGACUGAUCUGGUUGCUGUUUACCUUGCAAAGCAGUGCUGAGCUCACAGGAAGCACUUAGUACAUACAUGUAAACUGAAUAGCUUGAAACUGGGCCAUGAGUAGGUAUUGCCAGUGUGAUCUCCAGGCUAAAUUCUGCCACAAAUAACACACACGGGCUAUCCCAGGACAGUCUUCACUUCAGGUGAAAGUACACAUAAGACUUACAAUUUACAAAUAUUCUGACCGUUUUGGUCAAUAGUCUUAAAUGUUUAUAUGAAAAGAGGCGGCAAUACAUAAAUAGGGUGUUAAAUAUAUCAAAUGUCACCAAAAAAAUUAACCAGAAAAAUAAAAGUUUAAAAGCAAUUUUAAAAACCAUCAAUAAUAUAUAAAUAACUUAAUCUGAGGUAAGAGAAAAAGGCCCUGCAAACACUUUUAGAAAAAUAAAUCUCUGCUGCACUAUACAGAAAUUUCCCCUUCUACCCUAUCUUCUCAAGCCCCAUAUGGUUACCCACUUCCACCAAAGAUUUUGGGCGCCAAAACUAAAGAUGGGAAUCUCUCCCAUCCCUACCACUUCCAGGUAAACAUACAGAAUAUUCAGAGGUCACAUUCAGCUAGGCUAAGGUACAAGCAAACUGAAUCCACUCUCCCUCUCACCCCAAAAUAGGUGGGGCCAGGGCAGCAUCAUGGAAUGCUCAAGAGACCACCGCUGAAGGAGGUGAGGCAAGCAACCAGCAUCUAGCUGCCAGCCUCCCUCACCAGUCCUCAAAGACCCAGGCCCCCACCCGGACCCCAAAUCUGUCCCACCUGGUUCCACAGUGGUCUCCCAUUUUACUGAGCUCAGACUGACAGCUCCAUAACCGAGCAUCACUCAACACUACAGACUCUGAUGCCAAGACCCGAGCGUCCUCUCCUGGGAGGGAAAGGAAAAGGGAAAGAAAAAACAAAAAUGAACAAUAAACAAUUUUGCAAAAAUUCAAGAGGGAGAAAAGAUCCUGAAUCAGUGUUCUGGUUUGUGCAGCUAUUUUUUUAAACCCUUUUUCUGUUUGGUGUUUUCUAAUACUCCAUCACACAGUGGAGCUAAAUGCUGGAGGCAGACUCAGAGCAGGGUCUUGGCCGAUGGCUGCUUGCUUCCCUGCAGCUCUGCAGUCCCCCAACUCUGCUGGCUGUGCCCAGUCCUGGUCCUUGAGUGGCUUGUCUGCCGUAGAGUCCCAAAGACAGGAAAUAAAGAUGAGAA